GCGUGCAGGAAGAAGGCCUUCGGGUUGUAAACUGCUUUUGUACGGAACGAAACGGUCUUGGUUAAUACCUGGGGCUAAUGACGGUACCGUAAGAAUAAGCACCGGCUAACUACGUGCCAGCAGCCGCGGUAAUACGUAGGGUGCAAGCGUUAAUCGGAAUUACUGGGCGUAAAGCGUGCGCAGGCGGUUUUGUAAGACAGUCGUGAAAUCCCCGGGCUCAACCUGGGAAUGGCGAUUGUGACUGCAAAGCUGGAGUGCGGCAGAGGGGGAUGGAAUUCCGCGUGUAGCAGUGAAAUGCGUAGAUAUGCGGAGGAACACCGAUGGCGAAGGCAAUCCCCUGGGCCUGCACUGACGCUCAUGCACGAAAGCGUGGGGAGCAAACAGGAUUAGAUACCCUGGUAGUCCACGCCCUAAACGAUGUCAACUGGUUUGUUGGGUCUCUUCUGACUCAGUAACCAAGCUAACGCGUGAAGUUGACCGCCUGGGGAGUACGGCCGCAAGGUU
rnacentral:rRNA from 1 species